rnacentral:misc_RNA from 1 species
CGACGAUUUCUGAACCAUGGCCACCCCUGGGUGGGAAGGUCCAAUGAAGCUUUAUUGUGACAAUAAAUCAGCCAUCAAUAUUGCACAAAAUCCAGUGCAACAUGACCGUACAAAACACAUUGAAGUAGAUACGCGGUUUGUUAAAGAGAAGCUGGAUAGUGGCUUAAUUUGUACUCCUUUCAUUCCUACUGAUGAUCAACUUGCAAAUGUGCUCACUAAAAGGCUGUCUAGUGCUGGAUUUCAGAGGUUAACCAGAAAGAUUGG